rnacentral:rRNA from 1 species
GGUGGACGCUAGCGGUGCGCCUAACACAUGCAAGUCGAGCGGUAGAAUUAUAAUUGAAGCUUCGGUUGAUUUUAUAAUUUGAGAGCGGCGAACGGGUGAGUAACACGUUGGUAUCUGCCCCCAAGUCAGGGAUAGCCAUUGGAAACGAUGAUUAAUACCGGAUAGUCUCUUCGGAGUAAAGAUUUAUUGCUUGGGGAGGAGCCUGCGUUCUAUCAGCUUGCUGGUGAGGUAAUGGCUCACCAAGACAAUGACACCUAACUGGUUUGAGAGGAUGAUCAGUCACACUGGAACUGAGACACGGUCCAG